rnacentral:lncRNA from 1 species
GUGAGUGAACCUGGAAGUGGAUUGUCCUCCAGGGGCAAGAUUCAGCUAUUCUGAAUUAAAUAAUGUUUCAGCUACACCAUCUGCUUUUGAUGCUACAUAAUUUAUGAAAAGAUUGAAGAGAAUGGUCCAACCUCAAGUAUUGGGCUAAUGGACCUUGCCCUGCCUGCCUUCUUUUGCCUAGAUCAUGAAAGGCCCCUCACUGCCACACUCCUGAGUAAGGAUGGAGGAACAGAAAAGGAUGAGAAACCCUGUUUUGAAAAAGAAACGUUGCCUUGCCAUCACAACAUCCUAAAAAAUAAACACAGAGGUGUGGAUAGGCAACUGGAAGUGAAAAAACUCUCUGGCUUGGAAUUCAGAAUUUUUAAUAAUACUGCCUUCAGUUUUGCUUCAACAACAGUAUUCAUAGGCCACAUGUGUGGUGCCAAUAUAACCAAAGUGAGACUGGUAAGCAUGGCACCGCAGAAAGAGUGAUGUCAGCAUCGUGGAGGCAUAAGUUGUUCCUCUUUUCUCCUCUUCCCAUUUUUUUUAAAAAAAAUGAGAUCCAUAAUCAAAUAAAAGAAAUGAAAGUCCCUCAGCACUUUGCACCAAAGGACCCAGGAGUGUUCUUGUUCACCUGUGCCUCAGAAAAUAAACAAAUAAGACCUCAAGAGUGUUUGGAUCUAAACAAAUAAAAUCCAAAAGAGCUGGUGAACCCGUCCACUUCCACUCACCAUGACUGGGGGAAAACACCAAGAGCAUGCAAACCUGGGCAGAUACCCACAGAUGAGAGACAAAUUAUAGAAGUCCAGACAACCUGAGGAGAGAUUCCAGCAUACCAUCAGGAGCAGGAUAGAGAAGAGUUUGGAUGCAGAGGAGAGAAAGAACUCACCAGAGCCACCUCCCUCCCGCAGGCAACACUUCAAGGGGCAAAGCUGUUUGGCCAUGGCAGUAGGUGAGUUCUCCUACAGAGGAAGUAGAAACCAAAGACCUUUCCGUGGAGGAGAUAGAAAGCAAAAGUGGUGAGUGACUGCCUGGCUAUCUCAGGUGUGUGGGUUGCUGCUGGAGAAACCCAUUUCUCUCCAGCAGCAGCUUGGUUUCUGAGGAGUGAUCUCCAUGACUAAGAAGAAGGAGGAGAAAGGGAAGGAAGCAGAUAAGAAUAUCAAAGGACAUUAAAGGAAUGAGGUUCCUGCUGUUGGCUUCAGGACUUCACCAGGAAGUUUCCCCACAAGGCUCUGGGAGUA